rnacentral:rRNA from 1 species
GCCGCAAAUUGCAAGAAGAGCAAUUGACCUAGCUGAGAGGAGGCUGUUGAAGGAUGGCUGGCCUGAGUAUUACGAUGGUAAGCUUGGAAAAUAUGUUGGCAAGCAGGCAAGGAAAUUUCAGACUUGGUCCAUUGCCGGGUAUUUGGUCGCCAAGAUGCUGCUGGAGGAUCCUUCGCAUCUUGGUAUGAUAGCCUUGGAAGAGGACAAGGCAAUGAAGCCAGUUUUGAGAAGGUCCGCCUCAUGGACAAACUGAUAUAUCGACAAGAGCUUUAGGGGAGCAACGUCUGGAUUGAAAACACGAAUUAUUCGGGUAGCAUUUCUCUGCUCAUCCCUUGUUUUGACUUUCCCAACGGAAAGUUUUAUUUUCUUCUGGAUUCCUCGGCUGUACAAUAUCUC